rnacentral:rRNA from 1 species
CCCUUAGAUGUUCUGGGCCGCACGCGCGCUACACUGACAGAGCCAGCGAGUUCUUUUCCUUGGCCGGAAGGUCUGGGUAAUCUUGUGAAACUCUGUCGUGCUGGGGAUAGAGCAUUGCAAUUAUUGCUCUUCAACGAGGAAUUCCUAGUAAGCGUGAGUCAUCAGCUCGCGUUGAUUACGUCCCUGCCCUUUGUACACACCGCCCGUCGCUACUACCGAUUGAAUGGCUUAGUGAGGUCUUGGGAUUGGCUUCGGGGAGCCGGCAACGGCACCCUGUCGCUGAGAACUUGAUCAAACUUGGUCAUUUAGAGGAAGUAAAAGUCGUAACA